rnacentral:rRNA from 1 species
UACGUAGGGGGCAAGCGUUGUCCGGAAUCAUUGGGCGUAAAGAGCGCGUAGGCGGCCCGAUAAGUCCGCUGUGAAAGUCAAGGGCUCAACCCUUGAAUGCCGGUGGAUACUGUCGGGCUAGAGUCCGGAAGAGGCGAGUGGAAUCCUGGUGUAGCGGUGAAAUGCGCAGAUAUCAGGAGGAACACCAAUGGCGAAGGCAGCUCGCUGGGACGGUACUGACGCUGAGGUGCGAGAGCGUGGGGAGCGAACCGG